GAUGAACGCUGGCGGCGUGCCUAAUACAUGCAAGUCGAGCGAACAGACGAGGAGCUUGCUCCUCUGACGUUAGCGGCGGACGGGUGAGUAACACGUGGAUAGCCUACCUAUAAGACUGGGAUAACUUCGGGAAACCGGAGCUAAUACCGGAUAAUAUAUUGAACCGCAUGGUUCAAUAGUGAAAGACGGUUUUGCUGUCACUUAUAGAUGGAUCCGCGCCGCAUUAGCUAGUUGGUAAGGUAACGGCUUACCAAGGCAACGAUGCGUAGCCGACCUGAGAGGGUGAUCGGCCACACUGGAACUGAGACACGGUCCAGACUCCUACGGGAGGCAGCAGUAGGGAAUCUUCCGCAAUGGGCGAAAGCUUGACGGAGCAACGCCGCGUGAGUGAUGAAGGUCUUCGGAUCGGAAAGCUCUGUUAUUAGUGAAGAACAAAUGUGUAAGUAACUAUGCACGUCUUGACGGUACCUAAUCAGAAAGCCACGGCUAACUACGUG
rnacentral:rRNA from 1 species